GACGAACGCUGGCGGCGUGCCUAAUACAUGCAAGUAGAACGCUGAAGAGAGGAGCCUGCUCUUCUUGGAUGAGUUGCGAACGGGUGAGUAACGCGUAGGUAACCUGCCUUGUAGCGGGGGAUAACUAUUGGAAACGAUAGCUAAUACCGCAUAACAAUGGAUGACACAUGUCAUUUAUUUGAAAGGGGCAAUUGCUCCACUACAAGAUGGACCUGCGUUGUAUUAGCUAGUAGGUGAGGUAAUGGCUCACCUAGGCGACGAUACAUAGCCGACCUGAGAGGGUGAUCGGCCACACUGGGACUGAGACACGGCCCAGACUCCUACGGGAGGCAGCAGUAGGGAAUCUUCGGCAAUGGGGGCAACCCUGACCGAGCAACGCCGCGUGAGUGAAGAAGGUUUUCGGAUCGUAAAGCUCUGUUGUAAGUCAAGAACGGGUGUGAGAGUGGAAAGUUCACACUGUGACGGUAGCUUACCAGAAGGGGACGGCUAACUACGUG
rnacentral:rRNA from 1 species